UACGUAGGUGGCAAGCGUUGUCCGGAAUUAUUGGGCGUAAAGAGCUCGUAGGCGGUGUGUCGCGUCGGCCGUGAAAACCUGCAGCUUAACUGUGGGCGUGCGGGCGAUACGGGCAGACUAGAGUGAUGUAGGGGAGACUGGAAUUCCUGGUGUAGCGGUGAAAUGCGCAGAUAUCAGGAGGAACACCGAUGGCGAAGGCAGGUCUCUGGACAGUUCCUGACACUGAGGCACGAAGGCCAGGGGAGCAAACGGG
rnacentral:rRNA from 1 species